UACGUAGGGGGCUAGCGUUGUCCGGAAUCAUUGGGCGUAAAGCGCGUGUAGGCGGUUCGGUAAGUCCGCUGUGAAAGUCGGGGGCUCAACCCUCGAAUGCCGGUGGAUACUGUCGGACUAGAGUACGGAAGAGGCGAGUGGAAUUCCUGGUGUAGCGGUGAAAUGCGCAGAUAUCAGGAAGAACACCCGUGGCUAAGGCGGCUCUCUAGUACGGUACUGACGCUGAGACGCGAAAGCGUGGGGAGCGAACAGG
rnacentral:rRNA from 1 species